AUGCUCCGACUCCUCGCAUGGGGUGUCGGGAAAGAUUUCAUCGGUAUGGGAUGGGGUCGCGUCCUAUCAGGUAGUCGGCGGGGUAACGGCCCACCGAGCCUACGACGGGUAGCCGGCCUGAGAGGGCGACCGGCCACAUUGGGACUGAGAUACGGCCCAGACUCCUACGGGAGGCAGCAGUGGGGAAUAUUGCACAAUGGGCGCAAGCCUGAUGCAGCGACGCCGCGUGCGGGAUGACGGCCUUCGGGUUGUAAACCGCUUUUGAUCGGGAGCAAGCCUUCGGGUGAGUGUACCUUUCGAAUAAGCACCGGCUAACUACGUGCCAGCAGCCGCGGUAAUACGUAGGGUGCAAGCGUUAUCCGGAAUUAUUGGGCGUAAAGGGCUCGUAGGCGGUUCGUCGCGUCCGGUGUGAAAGUCCAUCGCUUAACGGUGGAUCUGCGCCGGGUACGGGCGGGCUGGAGUGCGGUAGGGGAGACUGGAAUUCCCGGUGUAACGGUGGAAUGUGUAGAUAUCGGGAAGAACACCA
rnacentral:rRNA from 1 species